rnacentral:lncRNA from 1 species
GCAAAAUCUGAGUAAACAAAAACAUAAGACAUCUUUUACCAAAAAAAUAUAAGAUAUCAAUCUUUGUAUUAUUCAGUUGUUGAAACUAAUUUAGUUUGCUGCAAACAUGUAUGAGAAAUCAAAAGUACAACUGUACAAGAAGAAGAUGAGCAAUCAAAGAAAAGGUUGGAUGAGAUAUGUUCUGAGUAAAGUUGGCAAAGGUUGAAGAGGAAUGGAGUAGAGAGAGUUGCAGAAUGUUUGACCAUUCAUAUUUCAGGUAAACGAUAAUUUUGUUUACUAAAGUCUUUACAAUUUUUUUUAACAAAUGUCUAAUCGUUUUCUGUAACUAAUUUUAAAAUUUCUCAAAGAUUUGUUUUACAAAUUUACAAGGUUUUUUAAUAACUAUCUGAAAACAAAAAAAAGUUAAUAUGUUUAGAUAACACACUUUUCCCGUGAAACUUUA